CUGCAGCUCCUACUACAACAACUUUAGAUCGUACGACCACAACAACAGAAGCACCUACAACGACAACUGAAGAUCGUACGACCACAACAACAGAAGCACCUACAACGACAACUGAAGGUCCUACGAUAACCACAACAACAUCUGUAGCUCCUUCGCCAACAACUGUAGCUCCUACGACCACUACAACUGCAUCAUCUACUUUGACAACCACUGCAGCACCUGCUACAAUAACUACAACUGAAGCCCCUAUGACAACCACAACACCUACUAUGGCCAUUACAACAGCAGCACCCAUAACAAGAACUGUAGCUCCUAUGAUCAAUACAACUUCAGCACCUACUUCGACAACCACUGCAGCACCUGCUACAAUAACUACAACUGCAGCUCUUACAACAACCACAACUGCAGCUAAAGCUACAACCAUAACUGCACCUCCUACUAUAACAUUUUUAGCUCUUAUGACCCCUACAUCAGCCGCACCUACAAUGAAAUCUGUUGCUCCUACAGCAACUGUUGCGGCUACAACCACUACAUCUACCAUACCUACAACAACAACUAAAGCUCUUACUCCAAUAACUGUAGCUCCUUCAACCAGCACCACAAAAGCUGCUAUGACAAUCAAUUCAGCUCUUACUAAAACAACCAUUGGUCCUACCACCCCUACAACUGCAGCAUCUACUACGACAACAACUACAGCUCUUAGAACAACCACAAUUGCAGCUACUAUGAUAACUGCAGCUCCUACAAGUGCAACUGCAGCUCCUACAGCUGCAACUCUUACAACUGCAUCUGCAGCUCCUACAACUGCAGAUGAUAAUGCUGCAUUAAUUAAAACAGCUGUAGCUCCUACAACCACUACAAUGGCAGGUCCUUCAACAACCACAACUCCAUCUCCUUCGACAACCACAACGAAAGCUGCUACAACAACCACAAAUAUAGCUGCUACAACCACCACAACAGCAGCACCCACAACGACAACUGUAGAAGCUACCACACCACCUCCUACUCUUUUGCUGACCACUCCUUUCAAUACCACAAGUGGAGGUUUUCCUGGCUGGGCUCUGGCCAUUAUCAUCCCUUGUGGCAUCGCUAUCAUUCUGGUACCCCUGUGGAUCCUGCUAUGUUGCAUUUUAUGUGGCGGAUGUGCAGCUAUAAGGAGACGCUGGCACAGACGCAGAUCUUACAAUGUACAGUACAGCAGAAGAAACGGUCUCUUCUGAGGUGACAACGCUAACAUCUCUGACCAAUUGUAAUCACAAGAACAGCCAAUCAUCUAUAUCUGCUAAUCAUGGCACUUUAAUGCAUGGAAAAAUUACUUGACUACACGGCAUUGCAUCUGAGAAGAUCAAGUGAAAAUGUAUAAUAGGCUUAAAAGGCCACAUGUUUUUUGUGCAAUGUACUACUUUAUAUAUUAUGCAUCUGAAUGUUAAUCAAAGUUACAGCUGAGCUGAACAUAGUAUGUUAAUAUAUUUAUUAGUUAUGUCAUUUGUGGUUUCAAGCUGUGCUGUCCACUUACUAAAACAGUUAUCAUUUAUUUAUUUCAUGUAUAAUAAGCUUCAUUCCAAUAUUUAUUUUUUGUUUGUUAUUUCCUCUCUUGAUUAACUAUGAACUAAUUUAUUUUAAACUUCAAUACAGUACAUGUUUCUUCAACUUAUAGUUUGACAAAUGUAAUGAAAAUACAAACCAGUAUUAUGAUCAAAUUUUAUGUAAAGGUUUGACUGCAGGGUGAUUAUAGACAGCACAUGUACACAUCAAAAGUAGUCAAAAUUGUCCGACCUGGCACCUUAAUCUAUGCAAAACUUAUUAAAGACCAAGUUCAGUCAAAAAACGUGAUUUUCUUAUGUUUUGUAUUCAGUGCCUUCAAAACGUAUUCACAC
rnacentral:lncRNA from 1 species